rnacentral:rRNA from 1 species
GUUGUAUGGUUAAGUGACUAAGCGUACACGGUGGAUGCCUUGGCAGUCAGAGGCGAUGAAGGACGUAUUAACUUGCGAUAAGCCCAGAUUAGGUAGUAAAAACCAUUUGAGUCUGGGAUUUCCGAAUGGGGAAACCCACUAGCAUAAGCUAGUAUCGCUGCGUGAAUACAUAGCGCAGCGAGGCGAACCGGGGGAACUGAAACAUCUAAGUACCCCGAGGAAAAGAAAUCAACCGAGAUUCCGAAAGUAGCGGCGAGCGAAAUUGGACUAGCCCUUAAGCUUUUUAUGCGUCAGGUGAAACUUCUGGAAAGUUGUGCGAUACAGGGUGAUAGCCCCGUAACCGGCAACGCAUUUAAAGUGAAAUCGAGUAGGGCGGGACACGUGAUAUCCUGUCUGAAUAUGGGGGGACCAUCCUCCAAGGCUAAAUACUACUGACUGACCGAUAGUGAACCAGUACCGUGAGGGAAAGGCGAAAAGAACCCCUGUGAGGGGAGUGAAAUAGAACCUGAAACCGUGUACGUACAAGCAGUAGGAGCACCUUCGUGGUGUGACUGCGUACCUUUUGUAUAAUGGGUCAGCGACUUAUAUUCAGUGGCAAGGUUAACCAUCUAGGGGAGCCGUAGGGAAACCGAGUCUUAACUGGGCGUUCAGUCUCUGGAUAUAGACCCGAAACCAGGUGAUCUAGCCAUGGGCAGGUUGAAGGUUGAGUAACAUCAACUGGAGGACCGAACCGACUAAUGUUGAAAAAUUAGCGGAUGACUUGUGGCUAGGGGUGAAAGGCCAAUCAAACCUGGAGAUAGCUGGUUCUCCCCGAAAGCUAUUUAGGUAGCGCCUCGGACGAAUACUACUGGGGGUAGAGCACUGUUAAGGCUAGGGGGUCAUCCCGACUUACCAACCCUUUGCAAACUCCGAAUACCAGUAAGUACUAUCCGGGAGACACACGGCGGGUGCUAACGUCCGUCGUGGAGAGGGAAACAACCCAGACCGCCAGCUAAGGUCCCAAAUUACUACUAAGUGGGAAACGAUGUGGGAAGGCUCAGACAGCCAGGAUGUUGGCUUAGAAGCAGCCAUCAUUUAAAGAAAGCGUAAUAGCUCACUGGUCGAGUCGGCCUGCGCGGAAGAUGUAACGGGGCUAAGUAGUAAACCGAAGCUGCGGCAAUGCACUUAGUGCAUUGGGUAGGGGAGCGUUCUGUAAGCGGUUGAAGGUGUGUGGUAACGCAUGCUGGACGUAUCAGAAGUGCGAAUGCUGACAUGAGUAACGAUAAAGGGGGUGAAAAACCUCCUCGCCGGAAGACCAAGGGUUCCUGUCCAACGUUAAUCGGGGCAGGGUAAGUCGACCCCUAAGGCGAGGCCGAAAGGCGUAGUCGAUGGGAAACGGGUUAAUAUUCCCGUACUUCUUACAAUUGCGAUGGGGGGACGGAGAAGGCUAGGUGGGCCUGGCGACGGUUGUCCAGGUUCAAGUGCGUAGGCUGAGAAAUUAGGUAAAUCCGGUUUCUCUUAAGGCUGAGACACGACGUCGAGCUACUACGGUAGUGAAGUCAUUGAUGCCAUGCUUCCAGGAAAAGCCUCUAAGCUUCAGAUUGUAAGGAAUCGUACCCCAAACCGACACAGGUGGUCGGGUAGAGAAUACCAAGGCGCUUGAGAGAACUCGGGUGAAGGAACUAGGCAAAAUGGUACCGUAACUUCGGGAGAAGGUACGCUCUCGACGGUGAAGUCCCUUGCGGAUGGAGCUAUUGAGAGUCGCAGAUACCAGGUGGCUGCAACUGUUUAUUAAAAACACAGCACUGUGCAAAAUCGUAAGAUGACGUAUACGGUGUGACGCCUGCCCGGUGCCGGAAGGUUAAUUGAUGGGGUUAGACUUCGGUCGAAGCUCUUGAUCGAAGCCCCGGUAAACGGCGGCCGUAACUAUAACGGUCCUAAGGUAGCGAAAUUCCUUGUCGGGUAAGUUCCGACCUGCACGAAUGGCGUAAUGAUGGCCACGCUGUCUCCACCCGAGACUCAGUGAAAUUGAAAUCGCUGUGAAGAUGCAGUGUACCCGCGGCUAGACGGAAAGACCCCGUGAACCUUUACUACAGCUUGGCACUGAACAUUGACCCUACAUGUGUAGGAUAGGUGGGAGGCUUUGAAACUAGUACGCCAGUAUUAGUGGAGCCGUCCUUGAAAUACCACCCUUGUAGUGUUGAUGUUCUAACGUUGACCCCUUAUCGGGGUUGCGGACAGUGCCUGGUGGGUAGUUUGACUGGGGCGGUCUCCUCCCAAAGCGUAACGGAGGAGCACGAAGGUGGGCUAAUCACGGUUGGACAUCGUGAGGUUAGUGCAAUGGCAUAAGCCCGCUUGACUGCGAGAAUGACAAUUCGAGCAGGUGCGAAAGCAGGUCAUAGUGAUCCGGUGGUUCUGAAUGGAAGGGCCAUCGCUCAACGGAUAAAAGGUACUCCGGGGAUAACAGGCUGAUACCGCCCAAGAGUUCAUAUCGACGGCGGUGUUUGGCACCUCGAUGUCGGCUCAUCACAUCCUGGGGCUGAAGUCGGUCCCAAGGGUAUGGCUGUUCGCCAUUUAAAGUGGUACGCGAGCUGGGUUUAGAACGUCGUGAGACAGUUCGGUCCCUAUCUGCCGUGGGCGUUGGAAGAUUGAAGGGGGCUGCUCCUAGUACGAGAGGACCGGAGUGGACGAACCUCUGGUGUUCGGGUUGUGUCGCCAGACGCAUUGCCCGGUAGCUAAGUUCGGAAUCGAUAACCGCUGAAAGCAUCUAAGCGGGAAGCGAGCCCUGAGAUGAGUCUUCCCUGAUACUUUAAGUAUCCUAAAGGGUUGUUCGAGACUAGAACGUUGAUAGGCAGGGUGUGUAAGCGUUGUGAGGCGUUGAGCUAACCUGUACUAAUUGCCCGUGAGGCUUAACCAUACAACACCCAAGGGGUUU